AUGUCCGUGUGCCAUCUUCUCUUGGGAAGACCUUGGCAAUUCGACCGCGGCGUCAUCCACAACGGAAGAACUAACCACUAUAGCUUCAAGAUGAAGGGCAAGGAGUAUGUGCUUCGACCAAUGUCACCAAGCCAAGUGAUCGCCGACAAGCAAGCAUCCACACAUCAUGGAGAUACUAGUGAGAGAGUGAACCACCACAAAGAAAGUGAGCGCCACAAGCCCAAAUUGAGCGACUCUUCGCCAAGAGAGAAAAACUUAGUCCUUCUAGCCACAAAACGAGAGAUGAAAGAAGUGUGUGAGAACCCAUCAAGUGUCAUCCACUAUGUCCUACUUUGCAAAGAUGAGGUGGCAAAAACUAACACUCCUAAUCCUCUUCCUCUAGUGUUCUCUAACUUGUUGAAGGAAUUCGAGGAUGUCUUCCCCGAUGAGCUACCUCCCGGUCUUCCUCCUCUACGUGGCAUUGAACAUAGGAUCUACCUCAUCCCCGGCGCACCACUUCCAAACAAGGCUCCAUACCGUGUCAACCCCGAAGAAACUAGGGAGAUCCAAUGGCAAGUCCAACAACUCAUCGACAACGGUCAUGUACGUGAAAGCUUAAGUCCUUGUGACAUCCCGGUUAUCCUUGUGCCCAAGCAAGACGGUAGUUUUCGCAUGUGCUCCGAUUGUAGACCCAUCAAUGCUAUCACCAUUCGUUAUAGGCACCCCAUACCUCGCCUUGAUGAUAUGCUAGAUGAGCUUAGCGGUGCCACCAUUUUCUUGAAAAUUGAUCUUAAAAGUGGCUAUUACUAA
rnacentral:rRNA from 1 species